AUUAAAAAUAUAAUAAAAGACAAAUUUACGUAUUAACAAAAAGACAAAAUAUGGACAAAAACAUCUUUUCACAAACACGUAAUAGCAAAUUUCUAACAUGAAGAGACCUGCAAAGAAAACAAAACUAAAGGACAAAUGAAGUAAGAAAAAAAACAUAGACCGAAGCUGCAAGAAGCACCAAACCACAUGGACCACUUGUGUAAUCUACUCUUAUUAAACGUAAAGAUGUACUAGAUCCCUUUACACUAACAAACACCGUAUCCAACUCCUCCCCCAUUAACAACAAAAAAGACGUAAGCAGACUCACAAGUCACAAAAAAGUAAAAACAUAAAUCUGAUUAAACAAAUGUCGAGGCUCAGCUCAGGGAAUUAGUAGCCGCGUAAAACAAAUAAGCCUCCCAACUCCCAAUAUCACUUAUAUAAAUAUGCAUUCAACUCAUUAACAAACUCCACAACUGUUUCUCCUUCUCACAAUAACCAUGAAGAAACCUGGAUUUUUAGCAGCUUCUAUCGCCGCAGCUUCUGCUACAACCGCCAUUAAUGGCACCAAAACUUCUCACGAGGAACGUGGGAUUUCGAUUAAACAUCAGACAGACUCUUCACAGGAGAAGAUGAGUUGUUGUUCGGAGAAAUUUGCGCCGAGGUUUGAUGGAUUGAGGUUUAUAGAAACGCUUAUAACUGCUCAUAGAUGACGAGAAGCCUUCGGAACUCUGAGAUCUACGCUAUUUGAUAAGGAUAAAUCGGAGACUUUCUUUUUUAAUGUUUAAGUCUGAUUUGAAUCCAUUUCAAUUUGGUUUCAUAAAGCCGAAGGCCUUUUGUAAUCAACUCAUUAUUAUCAAUUCAUGUGUCUUAAUCCAAAUUGUGUGCAUUUUUGUGCAUCUCAACACCAAGACAAGUGGACAAAUGGUUAUCUUGGUUUUUUUAAUUGUUUAAUGAAAUAAUUUAAAUAAUAAUUAAAUACUUGUUUUAUAUA